GAGCAACAAAGUACAAACUAGCAAAAGUGCUUAUCUGGAGAAUGAGUAAUCAAAAAUCAUUUUUAUGAGUAUAAGAGCUUGGUGUAAUUCCUACUACAUACAUCAGAAGAUCACUAACAUUCUUGUGCUUAUGAAGGAAGAUGAUAGAAUAAAAGUGUUACCGGUGGCAUGAUGAAUUUGUCGGUGAGUAAGCAGACAGCAGGAAGAAUACAGUAGGCAACUAGAGGUAUGGAGGUGAAGGGGUAGAUAGUUGUGUUUGCAUAGGCAAAUCGCUCCAGCCAUUUCAGGUUCCCUUCCUUGUGGCCAUACCAUAAGGGGCAA